rnacentral:rRNA from 1 species
GACGUAGGGCGCGAGCGUUGUCCGGAUUUAUUGGGCGUAAAGAGCUCGUAGGCGGCUUGUCGCGUCGGCUGUGAAAUCCCGAGGCUCAACCUCGGGUCUGCAGUCGAUACGGGCGGACUGGAGUUCGGCAGGGGAGACUGGAAUUCCUGGUGUAGCGGUGAAAUGCGCAGAUAUCAGGAGGAACACCGGUGGCGAAGGCGGGUCUCUGGGCCGAUACUGACGCUGAGGCACGAAGGUCAGGGGAGCAAACGGG